CCCCAUGUUCUGCCUUGAGGUAACAAAUUAACAAAUAAAUGAAUAAAUAAGGUAAUACACUUGGCUGUCCUCAGAGGUUUCCUCUUGUAGCCUACUUUGUUCACUGAAAGUGGGGGGAUGGGUUACUGUUUGAUGCUCAAAAUCCCCAGACUAAUUUGAAGUGCAGAGACCCCAAACACCAGGACAGCGUCUGUACACCAGAGUACAGAACUCUCUCAGAGCUGCUCCGAGAGAUCUACUUCGAGAUCUGCUCUGAAACUUUUGCAACGUUAUUGGACAUUUUGUUACAUCUAUUAUUUUGUUGAUGAGUGCUCCAAUUUAGAAAAUGGAGAAAACAGGAGGGGGAAAGGAAAGCCUUCAUGUGUGGUGGCUAGCUAGCUACUCUGCAGCAGCAGCUACAGGUUCUGUUUGUGAUGUUAGGCUAACUUUAUCUACUCUAUAACCGUCCAGGUGGAGCUGCUGGAGAAGGGACAUCUGGUCUCUGUUCCACACCUCUCCCCUCUACGGAGCUUGUAUGUUCAGCCCAUUAUUUGUGGUCUCUGUGUCAUUAAUAAUAAACUGCUAUUUCGUCUUUAGUAUUAUUGAUAUUCUUAUUGUUAAAUGUUAGUUUCACCUUGUUACUAAUUAAUUGUAGGUCUUAGUCAAAUUUUAUAAAGUGUAUUUGUACAGUGCUACCUAAUAUGCAGUAGAAUGACUAAGGACCUAAUGCAGUGGUGUAACAGUAACUGAACUGUAUGUUUGAACACAGCCUGCAGGUCUAGAGACAUCCAUCCCUCCAGCUCCCUCCAGUGAAACACAGCCUGCAGGUCUAGAGACAUCCAUCCCUCCAGCUCCCUCCAGUGAAACACAGCCUGCAGGUCUAGAGACAUCCAUCCCUCCAGCUCCCUCCAGUGAAACACAGCCUGCAGGUCUAGAGACAUCCAUCCCUCCAGCUCCCUCCAGUGAAACACAGCCUGCUGAAGAAUUGGCUAAACUAAGUCUUGAGGGGGUAAGUUUUACUUGUUAUCAAUGGUUUGGUACAGACCACAAUAAUAUGUGUGACCCUAGCUGGCAGUGGUGGAGUUAUUAGAUGAUGACCUUGUAAUGAACCCAAUGUUGAUAUUUUAUUUACAUUUUAUUUUAUUGGAAAAGGAAACAUCGAAAAGGUUUUGGGAGUCAGCUGGUAAGUUCUUAUAUAUUAUUCCACAUGUUUCACUUUGUAAAUGAGUCACAGAUCAUUUAUUAAUAUCCAUUGAUUUGCAAGGGUUACUGACACCAAGUCAAAUGAUAUCGCUGUGAUUCAAAACAUUUAAUCUAAUUGUACCAGAGAGUCAGAGCCUACCUAGCAGAGGGACCAGAGUGGCAGACCUACUGAAAAACAUCAUCUAGAUAUUAUAUUUGAGAAUGGAGCUAUCCAUGUAUAUAAGACACUACUCUCAUAGCUGCAGCUCAGUGGCGUUUAUAACGAAGCUCACUGAGUCGUCAUGACAACACAGAGCAGGGACAAAGGGUAGAAAUGGCGCUUUCACUUUCACUCCUUUAGUUCGUAGACUUGGUCCUAUUCAGGGUGAAGGUGUGGCUUUGUUACAUCUUAAUUUGGUCAGCAUUCGCACUGGACUCUGAUAGGCCGACCGUAUUGUAAACCAACGCCUCGCGGUCGGCGGGUCGCUCGUCUGUUGGACAGAACCUCCGAGGGAAGAUCACAACGCCUCCUAGUUGAGGACAACAUCAAUGGAGCAACUUUG
rnacentral:lncRNA from 1 species